rnacentral:rRNA from 1 species
GAUGAACGCUGGCGGCGUGCUUAACACAUGCAAGUCGAACGAAGCACUUUAUUACGAUUUCUUCGGAAUGACGAUUUAGUGACUGAGUGGCGGACGGGUGAGUAACGCGUGGGUAACCUGCCUUAUACAGGGGGAUAACAGUUAGAAAUGACUGCUAAUACCGCAUAAGCGCACGGUAUCGCAUGAUACAGUGUGAAAAACUCCGGUGGUAUAAGAUGGACCCGCGUCUGAUUAGCUUGUUGGUGAGGUAACGGCCCACCAAGGCGACGAUCAGUAGCCGGCCUGAGAGGUUGAACGGCCACAUUGGGACUGAGACACGGCCCAGACUCCUACGGGAGGCAGCAGUGGGGGAAUAUUGCACAAUGGGCGCAAGCCUGAUGCAGCAACGCCGCGUGGAGGAAGACGGUUUUCGGAUUGUAAACUCCUGUUCUUAGUGAAGAAUAAUGACGGUAGCUAAGGAGCAAGCCACGGCUAACUACGUGCCAGCAG